AUUGUACGCUGGCGGCAGGCUUAACACAUGCAAGUCGAGCGGGGUGAUGGUGCUUGCACUAUCACUUAGCGGCGGACGGGUGAGUAAUGCUUAGGAAUCUGCCUAUUAGUGGGGGACAACAUCUCGAAAGGGAUGCUAAUACCGCAUACGUCCUACGGGAGAAAGCAGGGGAUCACUUGUGACCUUGCGCUAAUAGAUGAGCCUAAGUCGGAUUAGCUAGUUGGUGGGGUAAAGGCCUACCAAGGCGACGAUCUGUAGCGGGUCUGAGAGGAUGAUCCGCCACACUGGGACUGAGACACGGCCCAGACUCCUACGGGAGGCAGCAGUGGGGAAUAUUGGACAAUGGGGGGAACCCUGAUCCAGCCAUGCCGCGUGUGAAGAAGGCCUUAUGGUUGUAAAGCACUUUAAGCGAGGAGGAGGCUCUUUUGGUUAAUACCCAAGAUGAGUGGACGUUACUCGCAGAAUAAGCACCGGCUAACUCUGUGCCAGCCGCCGCCGUAA
rnacentral:rRNA from 1 species